rnacentral:rRNA from 1 species
AGUGAACGCUGGCGGUAGGCUUAACACAUGCAAGUCGAACGGCAGCCCAGUAAGUGCUUGCUCUUACGGGUGGCGAGUGGCGGACGGGAGCGGGAUACAUCGGUAUCUACUUUUUUGUGGGGGAUAAGGUAGGGAGACUUAAGCUCAUACCGCAUACGACCUACGGGUGAAUGCAGGGGAUAUUCGGACCUUGCGCGAUUGAAUGAGCCGAUGUCGGAUUAGCUAGUUGGCGGGGUAAAGGCCCACCAAGGCGACGAUCCGUAGCUGGUCUGAGAGGAUGAUCAGCCACACUGGAACUGAGACACGGUCCAGACUCCUACGGGAGGCAGCAGUGGGGAAUAUUGGACAAUGGGCGCAAGCCUGAUCCAGCCAUACCGCGUGGGUGAAGAAGGCCUUCGGGUUGUAAAGCCCUGUUGUUGGGAAAGAAAAGCAGCAGGUUAAUACCCCGCUGUUCUGACGGUACCCAAAGAAUAAGCACCGGCUAACUACGUG